AGAGUUUGAUCCUGGCUCAGAUUGAACGCUGGCGGCAGGCCUAACACAUGCAAGUCGAGCGAACCUAGCUUGCUAGGUGAGCGGCGAACGGGUGAGUAACACGUAGGAAUCUGCCCGAUAGUGGGGGACAACGUCUCGAAAGGGACGCUAAUACCGCAUACGCCCUAAGGGGGAAAGCAGGGGAUCUUCGGACCUUGCGCUAUCGGAUGAGCCUGCGUCGGAUUAGCUAGUUGGUGGGGUAAAGGCCUACCAAGGCGACGAUCCGUAGCUGGUCUGAGAGGAUGAUCAGCCACACCGGAACUGAGACACGGUCCGGACUCCUACGGGAGGCAGCAGUGGGGAAUAUUGGACAAUGGGGGCAACCCUGAUCCAGCCAUGCCGCGUGUGUGAAGAAGGCCUUCGGGUUGUAAAGCACUUUAAGGGGGGAGGAAGGUUCGCUGGCUAAUAUCCAGCGGAAUUGACGUUACCCCCAGAAUAAGCACCGGCUAACUCCGUGCCAGCAGCCGCGGUAAUACGGAG
rnacentral:rRNA from 1 species